CUACGGAACUCCUACGGGAGGCAGCAGUGGGGAAUAUUGCACAAUGGGCGGAAGCCUGAUGCAGCGACGCCGCGUGAGGGAUGACGGCCUUCGGGUUGUAAACCUCUUUCAGCAGGGACGAAGCGUAAGUGACGGUACCUGCAGAAGAAGCACCGGCUAACUACGUGCCAGCAGCCGCGGUAAUACGUAGGGUGCGAGCGUUGUCCGGAAUUACUGGGCGUAAAGAGCUCGUAGGCGGUUUGUCACGUCGUCUGUGAAAUCCUAGGGCUUAACCCUGGACGUGCAGGCGAUACGGGCUGACUUGAGUACUACAGGGGAGACUGGAAUUUCUGGUGUAGCGGUGGAAUGCACAGAUAUCAGGAGGAACACCGAUGGCGAAGGCAGGUCUCUGGGCCGUUACUGACGCUGAGGAGCGAAAGCAUGGGAAGCAAACAGGAUUAGAAACCCUGGUAGUCCUCUUCGA
rnacentral:rRNA from 1 species